GUCUGUGUGUGUGCGUGUGUGUGUGUGCGUGCAUUACACAACAAUUAAGCUCCUAUUUAUGCUAAAAUUCAGAGCAUGAAUAACCAAGAAAACAGACUUUCAGAGCUCACUUCUUUCCAGCAGACGGUUGUUGUCCUUUGACAUUAAUGGAACGUCCCAUCGACCUGUCACUCCUGAGGGACACCAAACUGGGUUCAGG